rnacentral:rRNA from 1 species
GAGUUUGAUCGUGGCUCAGGAUGAACGCUGGCGGCGUGCUUAACACAUGCAAGUUGAGCGAUCUUCUUCGGAAGAGAGCGGCGGACGGGUGAGUAACGCGUGGGUAACCUACCCUGUACACACGGAUAACAUACCGAAAGGUAUGCUAAUACGAGAUAAUAUAUUUCAUUCGCAUGUUUGAAAUAUCAAAGCUCCGGCGGUACAGGAUGGACCCGCGUCUGAUUAGCUAGUUGGUGAGGUAACGGCUCACCAAGGCGACGAUCAGUAGCCGACCUGAGAGGGUGAUCGGCCACAUUGGAACUGAGACACGGUCCAAACUCCUACGGGAGGCAGCAGUGGGGAAUAUUGCACAAUGGGGGAAACCCUGAUGCAGCGACGCCGCGUGAAGGAAGAAGUAUCUCGGUAUGUAAACUUCUAUCAGCAGGGAAGAAAAUGACGGUACCUGACUAAGAAGCCCCGGCUAACUACGUGCCAGCAGCCGCCGCAGU